rnacentral:rRNA from 1 species
UACGGAGGGAGCUAGCGUUGUUCGGAAUUACUGGGCGUAAAGCGCACGUAGGCGGCUUUGUAAGUUAGAGGUGAAAGCCCGGGGCUCAACCCCGGAAUUGCCUUUAAGACUGCAUCGCUUGAAUCCAGGAGAGGUGAGUGGAAUUCCGAGUGUAGAGGUGAAAUUCGUAGAUAUUCGGAAGAACACCAGUGGCGAAGGCGGCUCACUGGAGCUGGUAUUGACGCUGAGGUGGACGAAAGCGGUGGGGAGCAAACAGG